rnacentral:rRNA from 1 species
UACAGAGGGUGCAAGCGUUGUUCGGAAUUACUGGGCGUAAAGCGCGUGCAGGCGGCCUUGCAAGUCGGACGUGAAAUCCCACGGCUCAACCGUGGAAGUGCAUUCGAAACUGCGAGGCUGGAGUCCUGGAGAGGAAAGUGGAAUACUCGGUGUAGAGGUGAAAUUCGUAGAUAUCGAGUGGAACACCGGUGGCGAAGGCGGCUGUCUGGACCAACACUGACACUGAUGAGCGAAAGCCAGGGGAGCAAACGGG